GCACCAAUGGUGCAGCGGUAUCAUUGUGCCCUCCCACGGUACAGAUCCGGGUUCAACUGCCGGUUGGUGCA